rnacentral:rRNA from 1 species
UGAGAUUUAAAGAGCCGCAGUAUCCUGACUGUGCUAAGGUAGCAUAAUCAUUAGUCUUUUAAUUGGAGACUGGUAUGAAUGGUUAAACGAGAAAUCAACUUUUUUUGUUGUAAAGCUUGAAUUUAACUUUUUAGUGAAAAGGCUAAAAUUUUUCAAAAAGACGAGAAGACCCUAUAGAGUUUUAUAAUCAAGGGAAUAUUUCUUUCUUAGAUUUUUAUGAGAGGUAUUUACUGUAGUUAUUUUGUUGGGGCGACAUUUAGAUAAAAAAAACUCUUUAUUUUUAAAACUUUUAUGAAAGGUAAAUUGAUCCUUUAAAAAAGAUCAUAAGAAAAAAUUACCUUAGGGAUAACAGCGUAAUCUUUUUUGAGAGUUCUAAUCGACAAAAAGGUUUGCGACCUCGAUGUUGGACUAAAAUUAAGGCAGGGUGCAGCAGUUCUGCUAUAAGGUCUGUUCGACCUAUAAUUUUUUACACGAUCUGAGUUCAGACCGGCGUAAGCCAGGUUG